rnacentral:rRNA from 1 species
GGGUGCGGUCAUACCAGCAUUAAUGCACCAGAUCCCAUCAGAACUUCACAGUUAAGCACUGUUGGGCUAGAGUAGUACUAGGAUGGGUGACCUCUCUGGAAGUCCUAGUGUUUCACACU